rnacentral:rRNA from 1 species
CGUAACACGUGAGCGACCUGCCCUUCCGGCGGGGAUAGCCGGGCCAACGCCCGGGUAAUACCGCAUACGUUCUUUCUGGGGCAUCCUGGGGAGAAGAAACUUCCGGGGCGGAGGGAGGGGCUCGCGGCCUAUCAGCUAGUUGGGGGGGUAACGGCCUCCCAAGGCGACGACGGGUAGCUGGUCUGAGAGGAUGGCCAGCCACAUUGGGACUGAGAAACGGCCCAG